rnacentral:rRNA from 1 species
GAUUGUCGGGAGUUAGGAAAUGUAAGGAUGUUAAUAGUAUUCUUACUUGACUAAGGCUCCGGAGGAAGCCACGGCUAACUCUGUGCCAGCAGCCGCGGUAAUACAGAGGCGGCAAGCGUUGUUCGGUAUUAUUGGGCGUAAAGAGCAUGUAGGCGGCUAUGUAAGUCGGUUGUGAAAGCCUUCCGCUUAACGGAAGAAUGGCGGCCGAAACUGCAUAGCUUGAGUGCGGAAGGGGAGAGUGAACUCGGUAAUCGC